ensembl:snRNA U6 U6 spliceosomal RNA
GUGCUUGCUUUGGCAGCACACUUACUAAAAUUAGAAUGAUUCAGAGAAGAUUAGCAUGGCCCCUGUACAAGGAUGAUAUGCAAAUUCAUGAAUUGUUGAGAGAGAGA